rnacentral:rRNA from 1 species
GUGGAUUAGAUACCCUGGUAGUCCACGCCGUAAACGAUGGAUACUAGCUGUUGGUAGCAAUAUCAGUGGCUAAGCGAAAGUGAUAAGUAUCCCACCUGGGGAGUACGGGCGCAAGCCUGAAACUCAAAGGAAUUGACGGGGGCCCGCACAAGCGGUGGAGCAUGUGGUUUAAUUCGAUGAUACGCGAGGAACCUUACCAAGGCUUAAAUGUAGAUUGACAGGUUUGGAAACAGACUUUUCUUCGGACAAUUUACAAGGUGCUGCACGGUUGUCGCCAGCU